rnacentral:rRNA from 1 species
UACGAAGGGUGCAAGCGUUAAUCGGAAUUACUGGGCGUAAAGCGUGCGCAGGCGGUUCGCUAAGACCGAUGUGAAAUCCCCGGGCUUAACCUGGGAACUGCAUUGGUGACUGGCGAGCUAGAGUGUGGCAGAGGGGGGUAGAAUUCCACGUGUAGCAGUGAAAUGCGUAGAGAUGUGGAGGAAUACCGAUGGCGAAGGCAGCCCCCUGGGCUAACACUGACGCUCAUGCACGAAAGCGUGGGGAGCAAACAGG